AGAGUUUGAUCAUGGCUCAGAAUCAACGCUGGCGGCGUGCCUAACACAUGCAAGUCGAGCGCGAAAGUGGACUUCGGUCCGCGAGUAGAGCGGCGAACGGGUGAGUAACGCGUGGGUGAUCUGCCUUCGAGUGGGGAAUAACACCGGGAAACUGGUGCUAAUACCGCAUGACAUCCUCGGUUCGUUCCGGGGAUCAAAGCUGAGGACCGUAAGGCCUGGCGCUUGAAGAGGAGCCCGCGUCCGAUUAGCUUGUUGGCGGGGUAAUGGCCCACCAAGGCUUCUAUCGGUAGCCGGCCUGAGAGGGCGGACGGCCACACUGGGACUGAGACACGGCCCAGACUCCUACGGGAGGCAGCAGUGGGGAAUUUUCCGCAAUGGGGGAAACCCUGACGGAGCAACGCCGCGUGGAGGAUGAAGGCCCUCGGGUCGUAAACUCCUGUCGAUCGGGAAGAAUGCGUCCGACCCAAUACGUCGGGCGUUGACUGUACCGGUGGAGGAAGCCACGGCUAACUCUGUGCCAGCAGCCGCGGUAAGACAGAGGUGGCAAGCGUUGUUCGGAAUUACUGGGCGUAAAGGGCGCGCAGGCGGUUCGCCAAGUCCCGUGUGAAAUCCCCCGGCUCAACUGGGGAACUGCGCGGGAAACUAGUGGACUUGAGUUCGGGAGAGGAAAGCGGAAUUCCGGGUGUAGCGGUGAAAUGCGCAGAUAUCCGGAGGAACACCAGUGGCGAAGGCGGCUUUCUGGACCGACACUGACGCUGAGGCGCGAAAGCUAGGGGAGCGAACGGGAUUAGAUACCCCGGUAGUCCUA
rnacentral:rRNA from 1 species